rnacentral:rRNA from 1 species
UGGGGAAUAUUGCACAAUGGGCGCAAGCCUGAUGCAGCCAUGCCGCGUGUGUGAAGAAGGCCUUCGGGUUGUAAAGCACUUUCAGCGGGGAGGAAGGCGGUGAGGUUAAUAACCUCAUCGAUUGACGUUACCCGCAGAAGAAGCACCGGCUAACUCCGUGCCAGCAGCCGCGGUAAUACGGAGGGUGCAAGCGUUAAUCGGAAUUACUGGGCGUAAAGCGCACGCAGGCGGUCUGUCAAGUCGGAUGUGAAAUCCGCGGGCUCAACCUGGGAACUGCAUUCGAAACUGGCAGGCUAGAGUCUUGUAGAGGGGGGUAGAAUUCCAGGUGUAGCGGUGAAAUGCGUAGAGAUCUGGAGGAAUACCGGUGGCGAAGGCGGCCCCCUGGACAAAGACUGACGCUCAGGUGCGAAAGCGUGGGGAGCAAACAGG